rnacentral:rRNA from 1 species
AUUGAACGCUGGCGGCAGGCCUAACACAUGCAAGUCGAGCGAGCGGCGGACGGGUGAGUAAUGUCUGGGAAUCUGCCUGAUGGAGGGGGAUAACUACUGGAAACGGUAGCUAAUACCGCAUACCAUCGGAUGUGCCCAUAUGGGAUUAGCUAGUUGGUGGGGUAAAGGCUCACCAAGGCGACGAUCCCUAGCUGGUCUGAGAGGAUGAUCAGCCACACUGGAACUGAGACACGGCCCAGACUCCGACGGGAGGCAGCAGUGGGGAAUAUUGCACAAGGGGCGCAAGCCUGAUGCAGCCAUGCCGCGUGUAUGAAGAAGGCCUUAGGGUUGUAAAGUAAUUUCAGCGGGGAGGCGUUACCCGAAGAAGAAGCACCGGCUAACUCCGUGCCAGCAGCCGCGGUAAUUC